GAUGAACGCUGGCGGCGUGCCUAAUACAUGCAAGUCGAGCGAACGGACGAGAAGCUUGCUUCUCUGAUGUUAGCGGCGGACGGGUGAGUAACACGUGGAUAACCUACCUAUAAUACUGGGAUAACUUCGGGAAACCGGAGCUAAUACCGGAUGAUAUUUUGAACCGCAUGGUUCAAAAGUGAAAGACGGUCUUGCUGUCACUUAUAGAUGGAUCCGCGCUGCAUUAGCUAGUUGGUAAGGUAACGGCUUACCAAGGCAACGAUGCAUAGCCGACCUGAGAGGGGGAUCGGCCACACUGGAACUGAGACACGGUCCAGACUCCUACGGGAGGCAGCAGUAGGGAAUCUUCCGCAAUGGGCGAAAGCCUGACGGAGCAACGCCGCGUGAGUGAUGAAGGUCUUCGGAUCGUAAAACUCUGUUAUUAGGGAAGAACAUAUGUGUAAGUAAAUGUGCACAUCUUGACGGUACCUAAUAAGAAAGCAACGGCUAACUACGUG
rnacentral:rRNA from 1 species